GUACUAAAGUAAGAAUAAUCACAGGAUAUACAAUUCCUGCCGGAUGGACGUUCGUAGUAUGUCCCUCAUCGGUUCAUCUGGAUCCAAACAAGUACGAGGAUCCCCUUACUUUUAAUCCUUGGCGAUGGAAGGGUGAAGAGCUACAUAUGGGAUCCAAAAAAUUCAUGGCGUUUGGUGGAGGACUGAGAUUGUGUGCUGGAGCUGAUCUUUCAAAGAUGCAAACGGCCAUUUUCCUUCAUUACUUGUUGACAAACUAUAGGUGGAAAGUGACAAAUGAAGGGAAUGUUAUACGAAAACCCGGUUUGAUCUUCAAUAAUGGAUUACACAUUGAAAUAUCCAAGAAUCAAGGAGAAAAAAAUAUUCGAAAUUAUUGUUUAAGAUAGAUGUUCUAUAUGAAUGUUCAUUAAAACUUCACGCUGAUAAAUAUGAAUAAAUCGUUCUAAUAUGAACAGUAAUAUGAUAUAUGUAAUGAAGUAGAAGGGUUAGCUCACUUGGUGAGCUCCCUGCCUUCCACAUCAAUAGCGUAGCUUCCUCUUCCCCAAUCCCCAAUCCCCAAUCCCCACUCUCCCUCUUCCGAUGUAAUAAAAAAAUAUAUUUAGUCUUCCUAAGCUAGCUAAUGUAAAGAGCCUUUCAGCUCUCCCCGAUUUUCAUUCAGCAAUAUAUUAUUUACGAGAUA